GACGUAGGUGGCAAGCGUUGUCCGGAAUUAUUGGGCGUAAAGCGCGCGCAGGCGGCCUUUUAAGUCUGAUGUGAAAGCCCACGGCUUAACCGUGGAAGGUCAUUGGAAACUGGAAGGCUUGAGGAUAGAAGAGGAAAGUGGAAUUCCACGUGUAGCGGUGAAAUGCGUAGAGAUGUGGAGGAACACCAGUGGCGAAGGCGACUUUCUGGUCUAUAACUGACGCUGAGGCGCGAAAGCAUGGGGAGCAAACAGG
rnacentral:rRNA from 1 species